GCUUAGUUAGCUUAUUUGGCAACGCGUCUGCCUUGUAAGCGGAAGGCCGCGGGUUUGAUUCCCGCCCGGGGCG
rfam:Asian citrus Psyllid, Diaphorina citri - Florida Strain, whole genome shotgun sequence.